rnacentral:misc_RNA from 1 species
AAAAGCCGUAUGCCUUAAUAGGGCACGUACGGUUUUGUAGAGGAGCUUGGGCGGUGACGCUCUUGUUUACUCAAG